GGCGCAGAAGAGCAGACAGCUCGAGCCAAAUCUAUGUGGAACGAUGCUGUGCUCCAUCCUUGGCCUUUUCCUGGGUGCUUCCCUAGGUGUCAGAGCUCAGACAGUCCAUCAGUGGCCAGCUACCGAGGUGCAGCCUGUAGGAAGCACCCUCUCUCUGGAGUGCAGCGUGAAGGGGAAAUCAAACCCCAAUCUAUACUGGUACCGGCAGGUGGCCGGAGGGUCCCUCCUGCUGCUCUUCUACUCCAUCAACGUGGGUGAGGUGACCUCUGAAGCACCCCAGAACUUCUCAGCCUCCAGACCCAAGGACGGCCAGUUCAUCCUGAGCUCUAAGAAGCUGCUUCUAAGUGACUCUGGCUUCUACCUCUGUGCCUGGAGCCUCACAAUGCACCAGGCAGAGUAG